rnacentral:rRNA from 1 species
UUACCAUGCAAGUCGAACGGAAGGCCCUGCUUUUGUGGGGUGCUCGAGUGGCGAACGGGUGAGUAACACGUGAGUAACCUGCCCUUGACUUUGGGAUAACUUCAGGAAACUGGGGCUAAUACCGGAUAGGAGCUCCUGCUGCAUGGUGGGGGUUGGAAAGUUUCGGCGGUUGGGGAUGGACUCGCGGCUUAUCAGCUUGUUGGUGGGGUAGUGGCUUACCAAGGCUUUGACGGGUAGCCGGCCUGAGAGGGUGACCGGCCACAUUGGGACUGAGAUACGGCCCAGACUCCUACGGGAGGCAGCAGUGGGGAAUAUUGCACAAUGGGCGGAAGCCUGAUGCAGCAACGCCGCGUGCGGGAUGACGGCCUUCGGGUUGUAAACCGCUUUCGCCUGUGACGAAGCGUGAGUGACGGUAAUGGGUAAAGAAGCACCGGCUAACUACGUGCCAGCAGCCGCGGUGAU